AAAUUACCCCUGCUCUGAUUUGGAUCAUAUCUCAUGUGAGGAGGAUGUGAUUCGUCAUGCAGCAGCACAGAUAAAUACCACAAAGACCUUUGAAAUCUGUGUGUCACGAGACAACAUGGUUGAGAGGGGUCUGAAGCUGUGGAAACGUCAAAAAAUGGGAAGCCCAGUCAAUCCCUUGAAAAUCAUCUUCCUGGGAGAGCCAGGAGUUGACACAGGGGCACUGAGGAAAGAAUUUCUGUCCAGUGGGUAGUUUGCUUUAAUCAUACAUUUAGUUGAAAUGUA